GAUGACCGCUAGCGGCAGGCUUAACACAUGCAAGUCGAGGGGCAGCACGGAAGUGGUAGCACUUUUGGUGGCGACCGGCGGCCGGGUGCGUAACGCGUAUGCAACCUACCCUAUCCUCGGGGCUCACGGAUGGAUACGUCCACUAAUACCCGGUAAUAACAGAGAGGGCAUCCUAUGUGGUUGAUAGAAUUUUGGUAUAGGAUGGGCAUGGGUAACCUUAGUUAGGUGGUGAGGUAACGGCUCACUAAGGCUACGAUGUUUAGGGGGACUGAGAGGUUAACCCCCCACACUGGAGCUGGGACACGGGGCAGACGCCUACGGGAGGCAGCAGUGAGGAAAAUUGGUCAAUGGGCGGAAGCCUGAACCAGCCAUGCCGCGUGCAGGAAGACGGCUCUAUGAGUUGUAAACUGCUUUUAUACGAGGGUAAUAGUAGCUACGUGUAGGUAUUUGAAAGUAUCGUAUGAGUAAGGAUCGGCUAACUCCGUGCCAGCAGCCGCCGUAA
rnacentral:rRNA from 1 species